CUUAACCCUAAUUGCUCCUGUAAGUCACUCUGCAUAAGAGCAUCUGCUAAAUGACUAAAAUGUAAAAUGUAAGUAGUAACUCACACCUAAUAGUGAGCCUUCAACAGGUUUCUCUGGACCAUAUAGAGCAUGGAGACUCCUCAGUGUAUCUGAACAGGCCUAUGUAACAGACCUACUGUAUGGGAGCCUUAAUGAUGAUGAAGAACACUGACUCAGACUCUCAGAACUGUUAUGAUGAUCAACUCCUUGCUGUGUAGACUAUUAUUGCUAAGUAUUUAUUGUAGACUUCUUCUUCCACUUGAACAUGAGCUUCAUAUAUGAUAUCAGUCUGAAUGAAAGCACUGUGUCAUGUUGUAUAACCCCUAGUUAUAUGUUACUGUCUGGAUACCUGUACUGCUGUUCCUCUGAGUGGAAGCUGGGAUGGAGGACAUUGACUGAGUAUGAGCAGUAACGUUGGUUUGUUGAAGAUUUUGAUAAAGUGCUUUGUGCGUGUAUGUGUGUGUGUGUGUGUGAGCCUGCGUACAUGCGUGUGUAUGUGGUUGAGGGAUGGCCAGUGGACGUGGGGUUAAGGGUUAAAGGAAGCAGGUCUAACGUUAAAGGAUCUGUGUUCUGUGUUGGUAUGCUUUGAUGCAGAAGAAGAGAAGACGUCUCUCCCUGAGUUGGAGCUGGCUCAUCUUCCUGUCAUAUCAUCAUCAGAUUGCAGAUAAAACAAUAAAAGACUGGAAGACAAAGCAGCAGGACUGCAGGGGCUGAGCAGAACAUAGCGGAAGGAACCAUGGAAAGAUAGAGGGAGGAAGGAGGGCAGUGGUUCUGCUGGACUACAUUAUUCUUCAUCUCCAUCUCUUUGUCUUUCUCCCCCCUCUCCUGACUGGACUUCAGAUGGGAUAGUGUCCCUAAUUCAUAUCCCUUUCUCCACAUUAAAGCGGUACGGAAUCUUUGCACGUUCAGACCAGACACAGGGACUAUAUAGAUGCUGUGUUUUUCUAUUCCACAGUGAUGAGACUGGGAUCAGAGAUCCUUAGUUCUGUUGACUGAAGUGGAAUUUGGAAUCAGAACUGCCAUUUUAUACAUUAUUAGUUAUGUCUUUCUUACUCUGAGGACCGACCUUGUCACUUUGGCUGUUGUGCUAACUAAGCAUUGUUUCCCCGAUAUUUUAGGGUAGAGCAGUGCUGUUGUAAUAUAGAAUUGUGAGAAGGUUUUUUACUUUGCUGGUCCUGUCUUAAAUAAAUAAAAAGUAUUUUUUAUUUAUUUAAACAAAGGAAGCUUGGGGACUGGAAAUGUUACUGUAUAUUGUUAUUUUGUUUGACAGUGUAAAGUGAAGGGCGUUUUUACUGGUUAUUAUAGUGCUUCCUAAAGUCACCUUUUAUAUACAAUUGAAA